AGGACCCUGCAAGGAUGCUUAGUGCUUACACCUUUUAAAAUCUGCCAAAAUCCGUGAGGGAAUAUAGUUGGAUCAUGGAACAGGUCUAGUCAUUGGUGAAACUGCUAUAUUUAGAAAUUGGGUUUCAUUAAUGCAGGUGCUGUCCAACAACCAAAUGUUUGCUGCUGUUAAUAGAGUAUUAUUUUGACUUUUGAGAGAGUUAGUCUCAACAUGAGCAAUCAGCAGAGAACCACUAUUCUUUGGAAAGCACAACCUUUUCCAUGACAAAUCACCAAUAAGGCAUACUUAGCAUGAUGGCUGAGUAUAUAUUUCCUUGACAUGGGCUACAAAGUGUGAUGGCUGACUCCACCUCCUGACGGGUUGAGGCAUUGCAUGAGAUCUCAAGGCAUUUGUACUCGAUGAGAAGGUGAAAGGUCUGAGAACUCGAGGAGCAGGCAAAGCUCUGAACAAGGCAUCGGGCGACUGGAAUAGGAGGUCUGCAAAAGAAGUAGAGUUCAUCAGUUGAGGGAAGGGACAACUCAGGAGGGAGCACACUAUGUCGAGAUCAAAAGGAGUUUUCAGGAUGAUGCACCCAGAUAAACUGCGUGAACUGAAGUCAAAAGCUUUUUGGAGGGAACUGGUCCUCCUACCUCGUGAGAAUUUCACAUAUCUAUGCAUUGGAGAGGGUCAAACUUGUGCUGGCAUGGUCAUUCAAUAGUAAGGUGUUAGAUCAACAUAUGCUUACUGUUCGAGUUUUGGAACAUCUUGUUGGAUCAA